rnacentral:rRNA from 1 species
UACGGAGGGUGCGAGCGUUGUCCGGAAUCACUGGGCGUAAAGGGCGCGUAGGCGGCCUGAUAAGUAGGGGGUGAAAUCCUGCGGCUUAACCGCAGGGCUGCCUUCUAAACUGUCGGGCUCGAGCACGGUAGAGGCAGAUGGAAUUCCCGGUGUAGCGGUGGAAUGCGUAGAGAUCGGGAAGAACAUCAGUGGCGAAGGCGGUCUGCUGGGCCGUUGCUGACGCUGAGGCGCGACAGCGUGGGGAGCAACAGG